rnacentral:rRNA from 1 species
AGAAUCAACGCUGGCGGCGUGCCUAACGACAUGCAAGUCGAACGAGAAAGGGGAGCAAUCCCUGAGUAAAGUGGCGCACGGGUGAGUAACACGUGACUAACCUACCCUGGAGUGGGGGAUAACUGAGGGAAACCUUAGCUAAUACCGCAUAAUACCUAUGGGUCAAAGGAGCAAUUCGCUUUGGGAGGGGGUCGCGGCCGAUUAGUUAGUUGGCGGGGUAAUGGCCCACCAAGACAGUGAUCGGUAUCCGGCCUGAGAGGGCGCACGGACACACUGGAACUGAAACACGGUCCAGACUCCUACGGGAGGCAGCAGUGGGGAAUUUGCGCAAUGGGGGAAACCCUGACGCAGCAACGCCGCGUGGAGGAUGAAGUACUUCGGUACGUAAACUCCUUUCGAUCGGGACGAUAAUGACGGUACCGGAAGAAGAAGCCCCGGCUAACUUCGUGCCAGCAGCCGC